rnacentral:rRNA from 1 species
UGUACCCCGCUGAACUUAAGCAUAUCAAUAAGCGGAGGAAAAGAAACCAACAGGGAUUGCCCUAGUAACGGCGAGUGAAGCGGCAACAGCUCAAAUUUGAAAUCUGGCUCUUUUAGAGUCCGAGUUGUAAUUUGCAGAGGGCGCUUUGGCUUUGGCAGCGGUCCAAGUUCCUUGGAACAGGACGUCACAGAGGGUGAGAAUCCCGUACGUGGUCGCUAGCUAUUGCCGUGUAAAGCCCCUUCGACGAGUCGAGUUGUUUGGGAAUGCAGCUCUAAAUGGGAGGUAAAUUUCUUCUAAAGCUAAAUAUUGGCCAGAGACCGAUAGCGCACAAGUAGAGUGAUCGAAAGAUGAAAAGCACUUUGGAAAGAGAGUCAAACAGCACGUGAAAUUGUUGAAAGGGAAGCGCUUGCAGCCAGACUUGCUUGCAGUUGCUCAUCCGGGCUUUUGCCCGGUGCACUCUUCUGCAGGCAGGCCAGCAUCAGUUUGGGCGGUGGGAUAAAGGUCUCUGACACGUUCCUUCCUUCGGGUUGGCCAUAUAGGGGAGACGUCAUACCACCAGCCUGGACUGAGGUCCGCGCAUCUGCUAGGAUGCUGGCGUAAUGGCUGUAAGCGGCCCGUCUUGAAACACGGACCAAGGAGUCUAACAUCUAUGCGAGUGUUUGGGUGUCAAGCCCGAGCGCGUAAUGAAAGUGAACGGAGGUGGGAACCCGCAAGGGUGCACCAUCGACCGAUCCUGAAGUUUACGGAAGGAUUUGAGUAAGAGCAUGGCUGUUGGGACCCGAAAGAUGGUGAACUAUGCUUGAAUAGGGUGAAGCCAGAGGAAACUCUGGUGGAGGCUCGCAGCGGUUCUGACGUGCAAAUCGAUCGUCAAAUUUGGGCAUAGGGGCGAAAGAACUAAUCAAAAUUAAUCUUGAUCGUGCCA